ensembl:lncRNA
GGAUCAUUUACUUCAGUCUGAGCUCUUGCAUUUUGUCUUUUCUCCCUAUGCACUUCUUUUUUCUUCUUUCUCACCUUUCUAGCUGGUUGCAUUGAUUGCUGCCCGUCUGUUUCUGCCAGAGGUCUACUCGUUUCAAAAGGGUGUUCUUCCUUCCCACUGACGCUAGGCGCUGCUCAUAGGGGACUGCAUAGUGUAAUGUGCUUUGAGGCGACUGUUGUUACUUUAAAAGUAACAAACUGAAACAUUCAGGACUUAAAUGUAGUAAUCAAACCUGACAUUAUGUAUAAGUUGUGUUUUUUUUUCUUUUUCCAUAGAUGAGUUGGAUGAAAGUGAAACGACAACAAAGCCUUUAUUGAAUAAAACUGGUGAAGCUCAGCACCUAGAGCUGAACGUUACAAGCACAGGAAGUGAAACUGAAAAUGCAUCUGUACCAUCUUCCACCAAUAAUAGAGUAGAAGAAAAAGUGGAGAUCACACGUGAAGUCAGAGGAAAGACUGAGCCACAAGACGAAAAUGAAGAUCAGUCAGAGAAAAGAGAAGACACCGCAACAGGAGGAGGAGAAUCUGAAACCUGGACUCCAUCACAACCUUUAAACAUUGAGAAGGGAGAGGAGUCAGCGAAGAGCGCAGCUGAAACAGAGGUAAAGAUGAAGUCUUUGUAUCGUCCCUGUUCACUGUCAUAGCAAAAUGAACACCAAACUGCUC